rnacentral:rRNA from 1 species
UACGAAGGGGGCUAGCGUUGUUCGGAAUUACUGGGCGUAAAGCGCACGUAGGCGGAUUUGUAAGUCAGGGGUGAAAUCCCGGGGCUCAACCCCGGAACUGCCUUUGAUACAGCAAGUCUUGAGUUCGAGAGAGGUGGGUGGAAUUCCUAGUGUAGAGGUGAAAUUCGUAGAUAUUAGGAAGAACACCGGUGGCGAAGGCGGCCCACUGGCUCGACACUGACGCUGAGACGCGAAAGCGUGGGGAGCAAACAGG